rnacentral:rRNA from 1 species
AACACAUGCAAGUCGAGGGGCAUCACGAGGUAGCAAUACUUUGGUGGCGACCGGCGCACGGGUGCGUAACGCGUAUGUAACCUACCUAUAACAGGGGCAUAACACUGAGAAAUUGGUACUAAUUCCCCAUAAUAUUCGGAGAGGCAUCUCUCCGGGUUGAAAACUCCGGUGGUUAUAGAUGGACAUGCGUUGUAUUAGCUAGUUGGUGAGGUAACGGCUCACCAAGGCAACGAUACAUAGGGGGACUGAGAGGUUAACCCCCCACACUGGUACUGAGACACGGACCAGACUCCUACGGGAGGCAGCAGUGAGGAAUAUUGGUCAAUGGACGCAAGUCUGAACCAGCCAUGCCGCGUGCAGGAAGACGGCUCUAUGAGUUGUAAACUGCUUUUGUACGAGGGUAAACUCACCUACGUGUAGGUGACUGAAAGUAUCGUACGAAUAAGGAUCGGCUAACUCCGUGCCAGCAGCCGCGGUAAUACGGAGGAUUCAAGCGUUAUCCGGAUUUAUUGGGUUUAAAGGGUGCGUAGGCGGUUUGAUAAGUUAGAGGUGAAAUCCCGGGGCUUAACUCCGGAACUGCCUCUAAUACUGUUAGACUAGAGAGUAGUUGCGGUAGGCGGAAUGUAUGGUGUAGCGGUGAAAUGCUUAGAGAUCAUACAGAACACCGAUUGCGAAGGCAGCUUACCAAACUAUAUCUGACGUUGAG